rnacentral:lncRNA from 1 species
UUAGGGUUAGGGUUGGAGCUAGGGUUAGGGUUAGGGUUAGGGUUGGAGUUAGGGUUAGUGUUGGAGCUAGGGUUAGGGUUGGGCUUGGAGCUAGAAUUUUUCUGAGUGCAAUGAACCAACUCCCGAGUCUCUAGGACGUUACUAAAAAUAUUUGUUUUUUUCCCAUAGGAAUGCAUGGGUUAGGGUUAGGGUUAGGGUUGGAGCUAGGGUUAGGGUUAGGGUUAGGGUUGGAGCUAGGGUUAGUGUUGGAGCUAGGGUUAGGGUUGG